UGGGGAAUUUUGGACAAUGGGGGCAACCCUGAUCCAGCAAUGCCGCGUGUGUGAAGAAGGCCUUCGGGUUGUAAAGCACUUUUGUCCGGAAAGAAAACGCCGUGGUUAAUACCCGUGGCGGAUGACGGUACCGGAAGAAUAAGCACCGGCUAACUACGUGCCAGCAGCCGCGGUAAUACGUAGGGUGCAAGCGUUAAUCGGAAUUACUGGGCGUAAAGCGUGCGCAGGCGGUCCGCUAAGACAGAUGUGAAAUCCCCGGGCUUAACCUGGGAACUGCAUUUGUGACUGGCGGGCUAGAGUAUGGCAGAGGGGGGUAGAAUUCCACGUGUAGCAGUGAAAUGCGUAGAGAUGUGGAGGAAUACCGAUGGCGAAGGCAGCCCCCUGGGCCAAUACUGACGCUCAUGCACGAAAGCGUGGGGGAGCAAACAGGAUUCAGAUACCCUGGUAGUCCACGCCCUAAACGAUGUCAAC
rnacentral:rRNA from 1 species